UUAGAUCACCGAAGUUAAGCAUCAUUGGGAGCGGUCAGUACUUGGGUGGGUGACCACCUGGGAACACUGCGUGCCGUU